AAUUAGAAAGCGAAUAAUUGCAUUUAGUUUCGACCUAAAACUUAGGCCUAAUAGCCUUCUAAUUU
rnacentral:tRNA from 2 species